rnacentral:lncRNA from 1 species
GAAGGAGGGGCCCGCGCUCCUACCUGUAGGUGGCCAACGCCGGGCGCUGGGCCGCCGCUCCUGCCUUGCACGUUAGAGAGCCGGUACAUGCAGGUGGGAAGCUCCACACGGAGAGGCGCGCCGCGCCCGUGAUAAGGUUUUACCUGGUACAUCGGCAUGGCGGAACCAAAGCAAGAGAGGGUGGCGCGUGCCAAACACCAACGCUCAGAAACCGUCCGAGGCUACGACUGGGGGCGGACAUCUCCCUUGUGACCCUGCUGCGGUCGUUCGGGAAAAAAAAAAAAAGCAGUCCGGUGUGCUCUGAUUGGCCCAUGCUCUUUGACGUCACGGACUCGACCUUUGACGGAGCUAAUAGGCGAAAAGGAGAGACGGGAAGUAUUUUUUCCGCCCCGCCCAGAAAGGGUGGAGCACAACGUCAAAAGCAGCCAAUGGGAGCCCAGGAGGCGGGGCGCCUGUGGGAGUCGUGGAGGGAACUUUCCCAGGCCCCGAGGCGGAUCGGGUAUUGAGUCCAUGGAGCGAGCUGAGAGCUAGAGUACAGAACCUGCUAAGGCCAUCAAACCUAUCGAUCGGAAGUCAGUCCAUCAGAUUUGCUCUGGGCCGGUGGUACUGAGUCUAAGCACUGCGGUGAAGGAGUUAGUAGAAAACAGUCUGGAUGCUGGUGCCACCAAUAUUGAUCUAAAGCUUAAGGACUAUGGAGUGGAUCUCAUUGAAGUUUCAGACAAUGGAUGUGGGGUAGAAGAAGAAAACUUUGAAGGCUUAACGAUGUCACCAUUUCUACCUGCCACGCAUCGGCGAAGGUUGGGACUCGACUGGUGUUUGAUCACGAUGGGAAAAUCAUCCAGAAAACCCCCUACCCCCACCCCAGAGGGACCACAGUCAGCGUGAAGCAGUUAUUUUCUACACUACCUGUGCACCAUAAGGAAUUUCAAAGGAAUAUUAAGAAGACGUGCCUGUUUCCCCUUCGCCUUCUGCCGUGAUUGUCAGUUUCCUGAGGCCUCCCCAGCCAUGCUUCCUGUACAGCCUGCAGAACUGUAAUUAACUAGCAUGGAUGGCCACGUUGAUUUCCAGGUGAAUUUAGGAUGAGUGUUUAAGAAUGCAUAGCAGGCCAGGCCUGGUGGCUCACACCUGUAAUCCCAGCACUCUGGGGGAGGCAGAGACAGGCGGAUCACUUGAAGCCACACAGAAAUCGAAAGAAGAAGUUUGAGUCCAGCCUGGCCAGUAUGGCGAAACUCUGUCUCUACUAAAAUACAAAUAUUAGCUGGGCAUGAUGGCACGUCUGUAAUUCCAGCUACUUGGGAGGCUUAGGCACGAGAAUCACUUGAACCCAGGAGGUGGAGGUUGCAGUGAGCCAAG